rnacentral:rRNA from 1 species
UACGUAGGGUGCGAGCGUUGUCCGGAAUUAUUGGGCGUAAAGAGCUUGUAGGCGGUCUGUCGCGUCUGCUGUGAAAAUCCGGGGGCUCAACCCCGGACUUGCAGUGGGUACGGGGCAGACUAGAGUGUGGUAGGGGGAGACUGGAAUUCCUGGUGUAGCGGUGAAAUGCGCAGAUAUCAGGAGGAACACCGAUGGCGAAGGCAGGUCUCUGGGCCACUACUGACGCU